rnacentral:rRNA from 1 species
AACGAACGCUGGCGGCAUGCCUAACACAUGCAAGUCGAACGAGACCUUCGGGUCUAGUGGCGCACGGGUGCGUAACGCGUGGGAACCUGCCCUUAGGUUCGGAAUAACUCCCCGAAAGGGGUGCUAAUACCGGCUAAUGUCUUCGGACCAAAGAUUUAUCGCCUUUGGAUGGGCCCGCGUUGGAUUAGCUAGUUGGUAGGGUAAAAGCCUACCAAGGCGACGAUCCAUAGCUGGUCUGAGAGGAUGAUCAGCCACACUGGGACUGAGACACGGCCCAGACUCCUACGGGAGGCAGCAGUGGGGAAUAUUGGACAAUGGGCGAAAGCCUGAUCCAGCAAUGCCGCGUGAGUGAUGAAGGCCUUAGGGUUGUAAAGCUCUUUUACCCGGAAUGAUAAUGACAGUACCGGGAGAAUAAGCUCCGGCUAACUCCGUG